UUUUUUCAAAGGAAAAACCCUAAAGUGAAGAGGAGAAAACGAGAGGAAUGAGGAAGAAAGCAAAAACAGAAAGAAAUCUGUUUCCCUCGUCUUGUCAUCCUCAAUGCUUUACAGAUGAAACUAAGACACAUGGCCAUGGUGCCCAGUCUGCACUCCUUGCUCUUGCUCGUUCUGGAAAGAGAAUUGGUCGUAUGGGCAUGGAUGGAUGAUGGAUCGUAUGAAUCUUCAAUGCCUGAUAUUGUUUCACAGAUGGAUGGAUGAUGAAUAUAGUUAUAUAUCUGUUGCUGGGGCUUGUAUAUUAUGUUGUCACACCUUUACUAGCUUCUUCCAUUUAUUCUUAUCUUCUUUGUUUUUGCCUACGUGAUUUUCCAUCACCAGAUUAUUAAUGUCACUCAUCCUCGUGCUUAACUUAAGGAUGCUUAUGUACAUCCUGACUUCAAGGGAGGGGAGAUGUACAAAUUAACCUGAAGCCAUUUACGAAGAAGAGAGAAAUCCUCUUGUUCCUACAAGCAGGACAUCUAAAAAGGCAUCUCAAACGGGUAGCAAACAUGAGUCUAAAGGCUCUAAAGGACCGUUUUUGAGAUCUUAGGAAACCCCUUCUUUUACUCUAUACCUUUAAAUGUUAGUGUUCUGUUUUUUACAUGUUCUUGUAAAAGCACCAGAAUCAUAUCAUAUUGACAUAUUCCUCCUC